rnacentral:snoRNA from 1 species
UGUCCUGUGAUGAAACUUCUGUCCAGUUCUGCUACUGACCAGCUCUGACGAUAUCACAGUUCUGAGGACA